rnacentral:rRNA from 1 species
AGUGAACGCUGGCGGCAGGCCUAAUACAUGCAAGUCGAACGGCAGCACAGCAGAGCUUGCUCUGUGGGUGGCGAGUGGCGGACGGGUGAGGAAUACAUGGGAAUCUGCCCAGUCGUGGGGGAUAACGUAUGGAAACGUACGCUAAUACCGCAUGCGCCCUAAGGGGGAAAGCCGGGGACCGCAAGGCCUGGCGCGAUUGGAUGAGCCCAUGUUCGAUUAGCUAGUUGGCGGGGUAAAGGCCCACCAAGGCGACGAUCGAUAGCUGGUCUGAGAGGAUGAUCAGCCACACUGGAACUGAGACACGGUCCAGACUCCUACGGGAGGCAGCAGUAGGGAAUAUUGGACAAUGGGGGCAACCCUGAUCCAGCCAUGCCGCGUGAGUGAAGAAGGCCCUCGGGUUGUAAAGCUCUUUUGUCCGGAAAGAAAGCAAUCGGUUAAUACCCGGUUGUCCUGACGGUACCGGAAGAAUAAGCACCGGCUAACUACGUGCC